AUACAGGGUGGAACUUCCUUCCAUCCAGAGGCUCUCCCAGCUCAGGCUCAUCCUGGAGCCAGCUCUGCAGAGGGAACAUGGGGGGAGGCGACUCACACCAUGACCUGUGUGGAGGUGGCCAUGGUCGGGUGAACCAAUGAACCAAGACUCCUGAGUGUGUUAAGUCCAAAGGGCAGGACUCCGUGAAGGAAAGAGGGAAGAGCUGCAGCGGGGAGGCUGAACAGGAUUUUAACAACGGCUUGAAGAAACAAACUUACCAUGAAAAUGCAAGGCAGUCCAGCCUUGUGCAGACAAAGGAGAAAUGAGCCUCACUCGGGCAAACAGUGCUGGCGACCUCCUCUCCCUCCCUCCACCAAGGAAAACAAAAGAAGAGCAAGGCCCAGAGUGGACAGAGGCUUCUUCCCUGGGUCAGAGAAACACGAGGUCUCGGGGCCCAAAUCCCAGCGCUGCCUGGAGGAAAGGACCCAGCACCUCCCAGCAAAGGCCUCUGUCCACAGCUCCCUUUGUCUGGGGCAGGGAAAUCUGUCUGCACCUUGCCUUGGCUUCUUUCCCUGGGCCCUGGGGGACAACUGCCUAUCCGCUUUCCCCCUCAGGAACAGGGACAGAUUAGCAAGGUGACCAGUGUGUCCCAGUUGGCCCAGAUUGUGCCGGUUUUAAAACGGAGAGUCCUGGAAACCCCUUCACCUGGGCAAACCAGGAUGGUGGAGCACAGGGCAGGACGAGCAGCAGGUCAGCCCUGGGGCCCACUGCUGCCGGAGGCUUCCUGGUCACUGUCUGUUCCCAAGCGCCUGAACUUAACCCUAACCCUACCCCUAACCCAAAUUCCACUCACCACUGGCAGAACUGUCCUCUGUCCUGGACUACCUCCGCCCUGGCCAGGGUGCUCAAGGCCCUGUUGGUGGUCGAGGGGUUCCUAUGGAUCCCGGACCCUGGCCUGGGCCUAAUCGGAGCCCGCCUGGGCCUCUGACCACCAUCUCUCUCUGCUCUGCUGUCAAGGACCACCCCCUGCACCCCCCCACCCGCCUUCUGCCAGGUACCUCAAGAGAAACAUGGAUGGCCCCCCUGGGCUCCCUACCCCGGCCACAGGGCUGUGGAGGCCACUCCCUCUGAACGCCACACCCCACACUGCACAUGCCCUGCCCACUCCCCCAACAGCAGAGUCCCUGCAGGACAAUGGCCAAGCCUCUCUCACUGGGCGAGCUGCUCCCUCUCCACGGGGGCCCCAGCUACCCAGGUACAGAAUUUCUAACAGUCAGAGCAAGUGUUUAGGGAACCAUCAAAGCAGGACACCAAAAACAAUUGUUUUAAGAAUUUGGCUUUUUUUUUUAAGUGUCUAAGUUGACCUCAGGAAAAUCUGCAAUGUUUUAGACUUUCUUAUACUGAUUUUAUGAUUUAAUAUUGUUUUAAUGCUUAAAGAUUUUAUGUCAAGAAGCAUCAUAACUUGGCUGGGCGCAGUGGCUCAUGCCUGUAAUCCCAGCAUUUUGGGAGGCUGAGGCGGGCUGAUCACGAGGUCAGGAGAUCAAAACCAUCCUGGCUAACACGGUGAAACACUGUCUCUCCUAAAAAUACAAAAAAAAAUUAGCCAGGUGUGAUGGCAGGUGCCUGUAGUCCCAGCUACUCGGGAGGCUGAGGCAGGAUAAUGGCGUGAACCCGGGAGGCAGAGUUUGCAGUAAGCCGAGACUGCACCACUGCACUCCAGCCUGGGCAACAGAGCAAGAAUGCGUCUC